rnacentral:rRNA from 1 species
ACAAGCGGUGGAGCUAUGUGGUUUAAUUCGAAGCAACGCGAACGAACCUUACCAGGUCUUGACAUCCCGAUGCUAUUUCUAGAGAUAGAAAGUUACUUCGGUACAUCGGUGACAGGUGGUGCAUGGUUGUCGUCAGCUCGUGUCGUGAGAUGUUGGGUUAAGUCCCGCAACGAGCGCAACCCCUAUUGUUAGUUGCCAUCAUUCAGUUGGGCACUCUAGCGAGACUGCCGGUAAUAAACCGGAGGAAGUGGGGAUGACGUCAAAUCAUCAUGCCCCUUAUGACCUGGGCUACACACGUGCUACAAUGGUUGGUACAACGAGUUGCGAGUCGGUGACGGCGAGCUAAUCUCUUAAAGCCAAUCUCAGUUCGGAUUGUAGGCUGCAACUCGCCUACAUGAAGUCGGAAUCGCUAGUAAUCGCGGAUCAGCACGCCGCGGUGAAUACGUUCCCGGGCCUU